rnacentral:rRNA from 1 species
UGUCCGGAUUUACUGGGUGUAAAGGGUGCGUAGGCGGCUUUGCAAGUCAGAUGUGAAAUCUAUGGGCUCAACCCAUAAACUGCAUUUGAAACUGUAGAGCUUGAGUGAAGUAGAGGCAGGCGGAAUUCCCCGUGUAGCGGUGAAAUGCGUAGAGAUGGGGAGGAACACCAGUGGCGAAGGCGGCCUGCUGGGCUUUAACUGACGCUGAGGCACGAAAGCGUGGGUAGCAAACAGGAUUAGAUACCCUGGUAGUCCACGCUGUAACGAUGAUACUAGGUGUGGGG